UAAAAACACAGCACUCUGCAAACACGAAAGUGGACGUAUAGGGUGUGACGCCUGCCCGGUGCCGGAAGAUUAAAUGAUGGGGUGCAAGCUCUUGAUUGAAGUCCCGGUAAACGGCGGCCGUAACUAUAACGGUCCUAAGGUAGCGAAAUUCCUUGUCGGGUAAGUUCCGACCUGCACGAAUGGCGUAACGAUGGCCACACUGUCUCCUCCCGAGACUCAGCGAAGUUGAAGUGUUUGUGAUGAUGCAAUCUACCCGCGGCUAGACGGAAAGACCCCAUGAACCUUUACUGUAGCUUUGCAUUGGACUUUGAACCGAUCUGUGUAGGAUAGGUGGGAGGCUAUGAAACCGGAACGCUAGUUUCGGUGGAGCCGUCCUUGAAAUACCACCCUGGUUUGUUUGAGGUUCUAACCUUGGCCCGUGAUCCGGGUCGGGGACAGUGCAUGGUAGGCAGUUUGACUGGGGCGGUCUCCUCCCAAAGCGUAACGGAGGAGUACGAAGGUACGCUAGGUACGGUCGGAAAUCGUGCUGAUAGUGCAAUGGCAUAAGCGUGCUUAACUGCGAGACCGACAAGUCGAGCAGGUGCGAAAGCAGGUCAUAGUGAUCCGGUGGUUCUGUAUGGAAGGGCCAUCGCUCAACGGAUAAAAGGUACUCUGGGGAUAACAGGCUGAUACCGCCCAAGAGUUCAUAUCGACGGCGGUGUUUGGCACCUCGAUGUCGGCUCAUCUCAUCCUGGGGCUGUAGCCGGUCCCAAGGGUAUGGCUGUUCGCCAUUUAAAGAGGUACGUGAGCUGGGUUUAAAACGUCGUGAGACAGUUUGGUCCCUAUCUGCCGUGGGCGUUGGAUAUUUGAAGGGGGCUGCUCCUAGUACGAGAGGACCGGAGUGGACGAACCUCUGGUGUACCGGUUGUCACGCCAGUGGCAUCGCCGGGUAGCUAUGUUCGGAAGAGAUAACCGCUGAAAGCAUCUAAGCGGGAAACUCGCCUUAAGAUGAGAUAUCCCUGGGGACUAGAUCCCCUUGAAGGGUCGUUCGAGACCAGGACGUUGAUAGGUCAGGUGUGUAAGCGCAGUAAUGCGUUCAGCUAACUGAUACUAAUUGCCCGUAAGGCUUGAUCCUA
rnacentral:rRNA from 2 species